rnacentral:misc_RNA from 1 species
GAUGAAGAACGCAGUGAAACGCGAUAUGUAAUGUGAAUUGCAGAAUUCAGUGAAUCAUCGAAUCUUUGAACGCACAUGGCGCCUUCCAGUAUCCUGGGGGCAUGCCUGUCCGAGCGUCGUUUCAACCCUCGAGCCCCCGUGGCCCGGCGUUGGGGAUCUGCCCAGGCAGUCCCCGAAAACCAGUGGCGGACCCGUUACAGGCCCUUCCCUUGCGUAGUAGCAUUCGCCUCGCAUCGGGAGCCGGCGGGCUUCCAGCCUCUAAACCCCCAUCAAGUCCGCCCCGGCGGCACCAAGGUUGACCUCGGAUCAGGUAGGAAUACCCGCUGAACUUAAGCAUAUCAAUAAGCGGAGGA